UACGUAGGGUGCAAGCGUUAAUCGGAAUUACUGGGCGUAAAGCGUGCGCAGGCGGUUUUGUAAGACAGGUGUGAAAUCCCCGGGCUCAACCUGGGAACUGCAUCUGUGACUGCAUAGCUAGAGUACGGUAGAGGGGGAUGGAAUUCCGCGUGUAGCAGUGAAAUGCGUAGAUAUGCGGAGGAACACCGAUGGCGAAGGCAAUCCCCUGGACCUGUACUGACGCUCAUGCACGAAAGCGUGGGGAGCAAACAGG
rnacentral:rRNA from 1 species